rnacentral:rRNA from 1 species
GUAGUCAUAUGCUUGUCUCAAAGAUUAAGCCAUGCAUGUCUAAGUACAUACUGUUAUAAAGUGAAACCGCGAAUGGCUCAUUAAAUCAGUUACGGUUCCUCGGAUAUUCUUUUUUACAUGGAUAACUGUGGUAAUUCUAGAGCUAAUACAUGAACAAGUGUUCCAACCUCAGCUUGCUGACGGAAGGAUCGCAUUUAUUAGUACAAGACCAAUGAUUCUUAUUCACCUAGAACCCUGUUCAGUGAUUUCGGUCGCUGUCUAAGGACUAGCAGUGGGGAUCUUAGCAAUUUCGAUUGCAUUUCUUGUGAUGACUCUGAAUAACUGAGCAAAUCGUAUGGCCUCUGAGCCGACGAUGUAUCCCUCAAGCAACUGCCUUAUCAACUGUCGAUGGUAGGUUAUGCGCCUACCAUGGUUGCAACGGGUAACGGGGAAU